rnacentral:rRNA from 1 species
CCUACGGGCGGCAGCAGUGAGGAAUAUUGGUCAAUGGGAGAAAUCCUGAACCAGCCAAGCCGCGUGCAGGACGACGGCCCUAUGAGUUGUAAACCUCUUUUGUAGGAGGACAAAAUCCUGUACGAGUCGCGUUCUGCGCGUAUCGUACGAAUAAGCAUCGGCUAACUCCGUGCCAGCAGCCGCGGUAAUACGGAGGAUCCGAGCGUUAUCCGGAUUUAUUGGGGUUAAAGGGUGCGUAGGUGGGUUUUUAAGUUAGCGGGUAAAUUUCGAUGCUUAACCCCGGUGGUGCCGUUGAUACUGUAAGACUAGAGUUGGCGUGCAGCACGCGGAAUGUGUGGUGUAGCGGUGAAAUGCAUAGAUAUUGCGCAGAACACCGAUUGCGAAGGCAGCGUACUGGGGCGAGACUGACGCUGAGGCACGAAAGCGUGGGGAUCGAACAGGAUUAGAUACCCUUGUAGUC